ACCUACGGGAGGCAGCAGUGGGGAAUUUUGGACAAUGGGCGCAAGCCUGAUCCAGCCAUUCCGCGUGCAGGAUGAAGGCCUUCGGGUUGUAAACUGCUUUUGUACGGAACGAAACGCUCUGGGUUAAUACCCCGGGGUAAUGACGGUACCGUAAGAAUAAGCACCGGCUAACUACGUGCCAGCAGCCGCGGUAAUACGUAGGGUGCAAGCGUUAAUCGGAAUUACUGGGCGUAAAGCGUGCGCAGGCGGUGAUGUAAGACAGGUGUGAAAUCCCCGGGCUUAACCUGGGAACUGCAUUUGUGACUGCAUCGCUGGAGUGCGGCAGAGGGGGAUGGAAUUCCGCGUGUAGCAGUGAAAUGCGUAGAUAUGCGGAGGAACACCGAUGGCGAAGGCAAUCCCCUGGGCCUGCACUGACGCUCAUGCACGAAAGCGUGGGGAGCAAACAGGAUUAGAUACCCUCGU
rnacentral:rRNA from 1 species